rnacentral:lncRNA from 1 species
UACUGCUUGCCCUGGUUGCUGCUGUUGCCGUGGUGAUGCUGCUGCUGUCCCUGUUGCUGCAUGCUGCUAGGCUACCUGUCGUUGCGCCUGUUGUUGUUGCUGUAGAGGCAAAGCCUGCAGCCGUUUGCUGUUGUUGUUACUGCUAGCUGCUUGCUUGCUGUGCUACGGUUGUUGUUGCCCGAUUUGCUAGGUUGCUGGUUGCUGCGUUCGGCUU